rnacentral:rRNA from 1 species
CUGAAGAGAGGAGCUUGCUCUUCUUGGAUGAGUUGCGAACGGGUGAGUAACGCGUAGGUAACCUGCCUUGUAGCGGGGGAUAACUAUUGGAAACGAUAGCUAAUACCGCAUAACAAUGGAUGACACAUGUCAUUUAUUUGAAAGGGGCAAUUGCUCCACUACAAGAUGGACCUGCGUUGUAUUAGCUAGUAGGUGAGGUAACGGCUCACCUAGGCGACGAUACAUAGCCGACCUGAGAGGGUGAUCGGCCACACUGGGACUGAGACACGGCCCAGACUCCUACGGGAGGCAGCAGUAGGGAAUCUUCGGCAAUGGGGGCAACCCUGACCGAGCAACGCCGCGUGAGUGAAGAAGGUUUUCGGAUCGUAAAGCUCUGUUGUAAGUCAAGAACGAGUGUGAGAGUGGAAAGUUCACACUGUGACGGUAGCUUACCAGAAAGGGACGGCUAACUACGUGCCAGCAGCCGCGGUAAUACGUAGGUCCCGAGCGUUGUCCGGAUUUAUUGGGCGUAAAGCGAGCGCAGGCGGUUUGAUAAGUCUGAAGUUAAAGGCUGUGGCUCAACCAUAGUUCGCUUUGGAAACUGUCAAACUUGAGUGCAGAAGGGGAGAGUGGAAUUCCAUGUGUAGCGGUGAAAUGCGUAGAUAUAUGGAGGAACACCGGUGGCGAAAGCGGCUCUCUGGUCUGUAACUGACGCUGAGGCUCGAAAGCGUGGGGAGCGAACAGGAUUAGAUACCCUGGUAGUCCACGCCGUAAACGAUGAGUGCUAGGUGUUGGAUCCUUUCCGGGAUUCAGUGCCGCAGCUAACGCAUUAAGCACUCCGCCUGGGGAGUACGACCGCAAGGUUGAAACUCAAAGGAAUUGACGGGGGCCCGCACAAGCGGUGGAGCAUGUGGUUUAAUUCGAAGCAACGCGAAGAACCUUACCAGGUCUUGACAUCCCGAUGCUAUUUCUAGAGAUAGAAAGUUACUUCGGUACAUCGGUGACAGGUGGUGCAUGGUUGUCGCCAGCUCGUGUCGUGAGAUGUUGGGUUAAGUCCCGCAACGAGCGCAACCCCUAUUGUUAGUUGCCAUCAUUCAGUUGGGCACUCUAGCGAGACUGCCGGUAAUAAACCGGAGGAAGGUGGGGAUGACGUCAAAUCAUCAUGCCCCUUAUGACCUGGGCUACACACGUGCUACAAUGGUUGGUACAACGAGUUGCGAGUCGGUGACGGCAAGCUAAUCUCUUAAAGCCAAUCUCAGUUCGGAUUGUAGGCUGCAAUUCGCCUACAUGAAGUCGGAAUCGCUAGUAAUCGCGGAUCAGCACGCCGCGGUGAAUACGUUCCCGGGCCUUGUACACACCGCCCGUCACACCACGAGAGUUUGUAACACCCGAAGUCGGUGAGGUA